GUAUAUUUUCAUGUGAUUUGAUAAUGUAAAAACUGAAAAAAGAUUAAACCCAGACAGUUUUCGACAUAUGAUUUAUUACCCGAGUAGGAUAGACGUAGUUCAGCUGAAAACCAAACAUCGCUUAACAUUAUUAAAUAGAUUUAAAAAAAGGAUAAACUUACACCAGUAUGUGACAACAGGAUCCCUUGUUUCAUGCUCACUAGCUGUCUUCAAAUAAUGCUGGAUGUUCUUUAGCGAAGGAGGGCAGGGCGGCAGUUGCAGUGACAUCGUCAAAAUAAUUAUUCGAUUUGGCAGCAGGAGGUUUGAUUUUAAUUUUUAUUUGAAUACCUGAGAAAAACAUUUCUUCUCAGUAUGGCAAGUGAAACAGAGAAACAAAUUGCUAGUGACUUGGCACUGCUACGUAAAAGGUUCAACAGCACUACAGACACAGGACGAGCAAAUUGUGUCAAGUUAGUAUAUGGAGUGAUCGGUACAACACUUUUAUAUUACCAGAUAAAAAAGAAAAUAUUUCCACCAACAGAAUCAGAAGAACAGGCUAAAAAGAAUGUCCAUUAACAUUUAAUGGUAAUUAAUCUUAUUGCACAUGUGAUUUAACAAACAAUAAAUAUAUUUAAAAAAUA